rnacentral:rRNA from 1 species
UAAGUCAGAUGUGAAAGCCCGGGGCUCAACCUCGGAAUAGCAUUUGAAACUGGCAGACUAGAGUACUGUAGAGGGGGGUAGAAUUUCAGGUGUAGCGGUGAAAUGCGUAGAGAUCUGAAGGAAUACCGGUGGCGAAGGCGGCCCCCUGGACAGAUACUGACACUCAGAUGCGAAAGCGUGGGGAGCAAACAGGAUUAGAUACCCUGGUAGUCCACGCCGUAAACGAUGUCUACUUGGAGGUUGUGGCCUUGAGCCGUGGCUUUCGGAGCUAACGCGUUCAGAGGACCGCCUGGGGAGUACGGUCGCAAGAUUAAAACUCAAAUGAAUUGACGGGGGCCCGCACAAGCGGUGGAGCAUGUGGUUUAAUUCGAUGCAACGCGAAGAACCUUACCUACUCUUGACAUCCAGAGAACUUUCCAGAGAUGGAUUGGUGCCUUCGGGAACUC